rnacentral:lncRNA from 1 species
GAAUCUGAGACCAGAUUACCUGUGGAUGGAAGAGUAAGGCCAGACUUUGGGACACUUGGACUCCGUGGAGCAAGAGCGGUGAGGUUGCAUGCUGUUUCUACAUUAUCUACAAGGCCCCAAACAUUUGUAUCACCCAUGUAUCUAUAUAUUACUGAAAAAAUAAAUAAGUAAAUAAUUAUAUAGGAUACACUGAUAGUUUCUGUUUUACACUGGGGUAGGAAAGGGGUUAGUGAUUAAUGCUGGUCGUAAAUCACUAAAGGGUUGCAAUCCACAAUUUGCAAAACAGAUCUAUUUCAAUGUCUCACUUCGCAGAUAAGGAAACACAGACCUGUAGAUAUGCCAUUAUACCAUCUCCAAUCUUUAGUGUUACCUUUCAUUUACCCAAUUCCUGCCAUGCAAUCCUAAACAACCCUCCACAAUAUAACCCCAAAUGACUUACAUUAAUAAGCUCUACAUUCUCUUACAACAAACUGGCUUCCACCAAAGACCACAGAACAGGACAACCAAACCACCAAUCUUAAAA